GUAGGGGGCUAGCGUUGUCCGGAAUCAUUGGGCGUAAAGCGCGCGUAGGCGGCCCGGUAAGUCCGCUCUGAAAGUCCAGGGCUCAACCCUGGAAAGCGGGUGGAUACUGCCGGGCUAGAGUCCGGAAGAGGCGAGUGGAAUUCCUGGUGUAGCGGUGGAAUGCGCAGAUAUCAGGAGGAACACCAAUAGCGAAGGCAGCUCGCUGGGACGGUACUGACGCUGAGGCGCGAAAGCGUGGGGAGCGAACAGGAUUAGAUACCCUGGUAGUCCACGCCGUAAACGAUGGGCACUAGGUGUGGGAGGUGUCGACUCCUUCCGCGCCGACGCUAACGCAUUAAGUGCCCCGCCUGGGGAGUACGGCCGCAAGGCUAAA
rnacentral:rRNA from 1 species